rnacentral:rRNA from 1 species
UAACGCGUGAGCAAUCUGCCUCUAUCAGCGGGAUAACACUUAGAAAUAGGUGCUAAUACCGCAUAAGCGCACAGCUUCGCAUGAAGCGGUGUGAAAAACUCUGGUGGUAUACGAUGGUUCCGCGUCUGAUUAGCUAGUUGGUGGGGUAAUGGCCUACCAAGGCAACGAUCAGUAGCCGGCCUGAGAGGGUGAACGGCCACAUUGGGACUGAGACACGGCCCAAACUCCUACGGGAGGCAGCAG